rnacentral:rRNA from 1 species
UACGGGGGGGGCAAGCGUUGUUCGGAAUUACUGGGCGUAAAGGGCUCGUAGGCGGCCAACUAAGUCGGACGUGAAAUCCCUCGGCUCAACCGGGGAACUGCGUCCGAUACUGGAUGGCUUGAAUCCGGGAGAGGGAUGCGGAAUUCCAGGUGUAGCGGUGAAAUGCGUAGAUAUCUGGAGGAACACCGGUGGCGAAGGCGGCAUCCUGGACCGGCAUUGACGCUGAGGAGCGAAAGCCAGGGGAGCAAACAGG